rfam:Loxodonta africana unplaced genomic scaffold scaffold_8, whole genome shotgun sequence.
AAUCCUGUUAUGCCUGGGAUUUAGGUGCUAUAACUCAGAAAAGAUACGUAUCCAUUCAGCACUCCAGAGGGACUUGAGAGCUGUCCUUCCCUCAACAAAGCUGGAAUUUCUUGGGGUUCGGAGAACUAAG